rnacentral:rRNA from 1 species
UAUCUCUGUAGAGUCUGCAUAUCAAUAAGCGGAGGAAAAGAAACUAACUAGGAUUCCCUCAGUAACGGCGAGUGAAGCGGGAAGAGCUCAAAUUUGAAAUCUUCAAGGUUUUACCUUGACGAAUUGUAGUUUAAAGAAGUGUUUUCUGUUGGAUGUUUUGGUAAAAGUUCUUUGGAAUAGGACAUCAUAGAGGGUGAGAAUCCCGUAUUUGACCAUUACUUCCAGCUUUGUGAUACACUUUCAAAGAGUCGGAUUGUUUGGGAAUGCAGUCCAAAAUGGGUGGUAAAUUUCAUCUAAAGCUAAAUAUUGGCGAGAGACCGAUAGCGAACAAGUACCGUGAGGGAAAGAUGAAAAGAACUUUGAAAAGAGAGUUAGACAGUACGUGAAAUUGUCAAAAGGGAAGCGUUUGACACCAGUGUUGUUUUCUCGAAAAUCAAUUAAAAAAGGCAGGAUUUUGUGUUGUAUUGACUUUAUCAGCUUUCUGCACUCUUUUCUUGUCUUUUUUAAUGCACUUUUCGUUUAACAAGUCAACAUCAAUUUCUUUUGUUGUAAAAGGGUCAUUGGAAGGUGGCUUUCUUUUCGGAGAAAGUGUUUAUAGCCUUUGGCCUCUGCAAUCGGAGAGAUUGAGGUCUGCAGCGUAGAUCCUUCGGGGCUAGAUACAUUAGAUGCUAAGUUAUAGCUUUUUAUAGACAACCUUGUUGACUAUGAUUAGUCAUGUAGCUUACUCGUUUGCGCUAUUUUACCUACGCUUAGGAUGUUGACGAUCAGCUGAGCGCG